AAACUUUCAACAACGGAUCUCUUGGUUCUGGCAUCGAUGAAGAACGCAGCGAAAUGCGAUAAGUAAUGUGAAUUGCAGAAUUCAGUGAAUCAUCGAAUCUUUGAACGCACAUUGCACCCUCUGGUAUUCCAGGGGGUAUGCCUGUUCGAGCGUCAUUACAACCCUCAAGCACUGCUUGGUAUUGGGUGUCACUAUUGUGGUGCAUCUCAAAAGUAUCGGCAUUAGCAUUCAGCUUCUAGCGUAGUAAAUUUCUUGCUUU
rnacentral:rRNA from 1 species